rnacentral:rRNA from 1 species
GACGAACGCUGGCGGCGUGCUUAACACAUGCAAGUCGAACGGAAAGGCCCUGCUUUUGUGGGGUGCUCGAGUGGCGAACGGGUGAGUAACACGUGAGUAACCUGCCCCUGACUUUGGGAUAACUUCACGAAACUGGGGCUCAUACCGGAUAGGAGCUCCUGCUGCAUGGUGGGGGUUGGAAAGUUUCGGCGGUUGGGGAUGGACUCGCGGCUUAUCAGCUUGUUGGGGGGGUAGUGGCUUACCAAGGCUUUGACGGGUAGCCGGCCUGGGAGGGUGACCGGCCACAUGGGGACUGAGAGACGGCCCAGACUCCAACGGGAGGCAGCAGUGGGGAAUAUGGCACAAUGGGCGGAAGCCUGAUGCAGCAACGCCGCGUGCGGGAUGACGGCCUUCGGGUGGUAAACCGCUUUCGCCUGUGACGAAGCGGGAGUGACGGUAAUGGGUAAAGAAGCACCGGCUAACUACGUG